UUUAAAUGAAAACUCUUAUUUUAACCUGUAGAACAGAUAUAACACAAGUCACAAUAGCACAGUCUCAUUCCCCCGUCUUGCUUCUACCCUGCCUUUGAGGGACCACAUCUAAGGAUGAAAGGAUGGUUAAUCGUCCAUGAUUCAGUCCUUGGCCUCU
rnacentral:sRNA from 1 species